rnacentral:rRNA from 1 species
GGGUUGUGAGGUUAAGCGACUAAGCGUACACGGUGGAUGCCCUGGCAGUCAGAGGCGAUGAAGGGCGUGCUAAUCUGCGAUAAGCGCCGGUAAGGUGAUAUGAACCGUUAUAACCGGCGAUACCCGAAUGGGGAAACCCAGUGUGUUUCGACACACUAUCAUUAACUGAAUCCAUAGGUUAAUGAGGCGAACCGGGGGAACUGAAACAUCUAAGUACCCCGAGGAAAAGAAAUCAACCGAGAUUCCCCCAGUAGCGGCGAGCGAACGGGGAGGAGCCCAGAGUCUGAAUCAGCAUGUGUGUUAGUGGAAGCGUCUGGAAAGGCGCGCGAUACAGGGUGACAGCCCCGUACACAAAAGCGCAUGUGCUGUGAGCUCGAUGAGUAGGGCGGGACACGUGGUAUCCUGUCUGAAUAUGGGGGGACCAUCCUCCAAGGCUAAAUACUCCUGACUGACCGAUAGUGAACCAGUACCGUGAGGGAAAGGCGAAAAGAACCCCGGCGAGGGGAGUGAAAAAGAACCUGAAACCGUGUACGUACAAGCAGUGGGAGCACCCUUUUGGGUGUGACUGCGUACCUUUUGUAUAAUGGGUCAGCGACUUAUAUUCUGUAGCAAGGUUAACCGAAUAGGGGAGCCGGAGGGAAACCGAGUCUUAAUUGGGCGUUAAGUUGCAGGGUAUAGACCCGAAACCCGGUGAUCUAGCCAUGGGCAGGUUGAAGGUUGGGUAACACUAACUGGAGGACCGAACCGACUAAUGUUGAAAAAUUAGCGGAUGAUCUGUGGCUGGGGGUGAAAGGCCAAUCAAACCGGGAGAUAGCUGGUUCUCCCCGAAAGCUAUUUAGGUAGCGCCUCGUGAAUUCAUCUCCGGGGGUAGAGCACUGUUUCGGCUAGGGGGCCAUCCCGGCUUACCAACCCGAUGCAAACUGCGAAUACCGGAGAAUGUUAUCACGGGAGACACACGGCGGGUGCUAACGUCCGUCGUGAAGAGGGAAACAACCCAGACCGCCAGCUAAGGUCCCAAAGUCAUGGUUAAGUGGGAAACGAUGUGGGAAGGCCCAGACAGCCAGGAUGUUGGCUUAGAAGCAGCCAUCAUUUAAAGAAAGCGUAAUAGCUCACUGGUCGAGUCGGCCUGCGCGGAAGAUGUAACGGGGCUAAACCAUGCACCGAAGCUGCGGCAGCGACGCUGAUGCGUUGUUGGGUAGGGGAGCGUUCUGUAAGCCUG